GACGAACGCUGGCGGCGUGCUUAACACAUGCAAGUCGAACGGUGAACGAGGGAGCUUGCUCCCUCCGGAUCAGUGGCGAACGGGUGAGUAACACGUGAGCAAUCUGCCCCGAACUCUGGGAUAAGCGUUGGAAACGACGUCUAACACCGGAUACGACGCGGGAGGGCAUCCUCUCCGCGUGGAAAGAACUUCGGUUCGGGAUGAGCUCGCGGCCUAUCAGCUUGUUGGUGAGGUAACGGCUCACCAAGGCGACGACGGGUAGCCGGCCUGAGAGGGUGACCGGCCACACUGGGACUGAGACACGGCCCAGACUCCUACGGGAGGCAGCAGUGGGGAAUAUUGCACAAUGGGCGCAAGCCUGAUGCAGCAACGCCGCGUGAGGGACGACGGCCUUCGGGUUGUAAACCUCUUUUAGCAGGGAAGAAGCGAAAGUGACGGUACCUGCAGAAAAAGCACCGGCUAACUACGUG
rnacentral:rRNA from 1 species